rnacentral:rRNA from 1 species
UGCGUAGGCGGCUUAGUAAGUCAGAAGUGAAAGGCUAUGGCUCAACCAUAGUAAGCUUUUGAAACUGCUGAGCUUGAGUGCAGGAGAGGAAAGUGGAAUUCCUAGUGUAGCGGUGAAAUGCGUAGAUAUUAGGAGGAACACCAGUGGCGAAGGCGACUUUCUGGACUGUAACUGACGCUGAGGCACGAAAGCGUGGGGAGCGAACA